UUCCAGACUCCUACGGGAGGCAGCAGUGGGGAAUAUUGGGCAAUGGGCGCAAGCCUGACCCAGCAACGCCGCGUGAAGGAAGAAGGCCCUCGGGUUGUAAACUUCUUUUAUCAGGGACGAAACAAAUGACGGUACCUGAUGAAUAAGCCACGGCUAACUACGUGCCAGCAGCCGCGGUAAUACGUAGGUGGCAAGCGUUAUCCGGAUUUACUGGGUGUAAAGGGCGUGUAGGCGGGUCUGCAAGUCAGAUGUGAAAUCUCAUGGCUCAACCAUGGAACUGCAUUUGAAACUGUGUUUCUUGAGUGCUGGAGAGGCAAUCGGAAUUCCGUGUGUAGCGGUGAAAUGCGUAGAUAUACGGAGGAACACCAGUGGCGAAGGCGGAUUGCUGGACAGUAACUGACGCUGAGGCGCGAAAGCGUGGGGAGCAAACAGGAUUAGAUACCCGUGUAUGA
rnacentral:rRNA from 1 species